AAUUGCGAAGCAAAUAAAAUUUGUUAUUUUACUACUCGUCGUAUAAACGAAACAGCUAUAGAAAAUUUAGAAGCGAGGCAGACAAGUGUGACGUGCAAGUUUCGGCACGUGUCGAACCAGCGUCUUAAAAGUAUGGCCAAGCAAGAAGAUAUUGUAUAUACCCAUGAGAAAAUAAGGAUCUGGUCACCCUUUGGAAGUCAGGUUUACAAGGACAGAGGGGAGGUCGAAAAGCAGACAGGGAUAUAACAGGUGGCGCGCGGAACUAAACAGCCCCUUUCCUCGAUCGUCCUUCUUCGGCAGAACGUAUCAAAAGUGGCAGGAUAAACAGGACGAAGGCACGAAUCAACAGGCACAUCGAUGGAACACCGGCAUUAGAAGCGAAACGGUAAUGGACCGGGCUAUAAUUAUUCCGUGUUCCGCGGAGCAAACAGCCGGUAACGACCGAAUUUGCAUCUGGAUACAAUCGUGCAGCCAUGGAAAUAACAGAAACUCGCUGGUUCAAGGAGAACAUUUCCGGCGAACAAUUAGAAAUAAUGGCCGUUCCACGUCGAUGUAGCAAUCAUUGUUAAUUGACAUCGAAGGAGCUGCGAAACGAUUCGGCUCGACGUGGGUCUCCA
rnacentral:misc_RNA from 1 species